GUUGUGUCACAGCAGGAACUCCAGGAAAUUAACAGGAAGAAGAUUACUGCUUUCCCCCCAAGCCGGAGGAAGGAAGACUUCUCGCCCAGUAACAGCCCAGACAAUAAGAGAUGUAACAAGUCAGCCAAUGAAAAGCCACUGAACUACCUCCCCCUUCUCCUCUACAAAAGAAGGUUCCGCUCCUUUGUUCUCUCCUGGCUUGUGGCUUGCUGUAGGGUCUGUGUUCCAAAUUUUAAUUCUCAGCUGUUCCCAAAUACACCCAUUUUCCUGGUAAAA